GACGAACGCUGGCGGCGUGCCUAAUACAUGCAAGUCGAACGCUUCUUUCCUCCCGAGUGCUUGCACUCAAUUGGAAAGAGGAGUGGCGGACGGGUGAGUAACACGUGGGUAACCUACCCAUCAGAGGGGGAUAACACUUGGAAACAGGUGCUAAUACCGCAUAACAGUUUAUGCCGCAUGGCAUAAGAGUGAAAGGCGCUUUCGGGUGUCGCUGACGGAUGGACCCGCGGUGCAUUAGCUAGUUGGUGAGGUAACGGCUCACCAAGGCCACGAUGCAUAGCCGACCUGAGAGGGUGAUCGGCCACACUGGGACUGAGACACGGCCCAGACUCCUACGGGAGGCAGCAGUAGGGAAUCUUCGGCAAUGGACGAAAGUCUGACCGAGCAACGCCGCGUGAGUGAAGAAGGUUUUCGGAUCGUAAAACUCUGUUGUUAGAGAAGAACAAGGACGUUAGUAACUGA
rnacentral:rRNA from 1 species